rnacentral:lncRNA from 1 species
UUAAAUCUCUUUAUUCAUCUUUAUUACAAUAUUAUUAUGCAAAGUGUAACAUCCCAAAAAUAUGUGUAUAAAUCAUAUCAAAUGGAAUGCAACAUAUUAUAAUAAUAAAAAGCAGGUUGAGAGUAGAAAAUAACUGUAUAAGUAUAAGUUACAGUUAUCCAAAAUAUAGGGGAAAUUAAAACGACAAGAAUUNAAAGUACAAAGGUCCAAAGUUUUGCCAAACAAGAUCAGCUAAAAGAAAUAAAACAACACCAUCGUCUAAGAACUAGGUGUUGGAUCUUCUUCGGUUUCCAAUGUCUGCUCCAGAGGUACAUCAUCACCUACUGCUCACAUCCAAAGGAUUGGAUGAUCAUCGCAAGGGGGAGAACAAACACACGCAACAUACAAGUGCAAGGGUGAGCUAGGUAAAUAAAUAAAAAAAAUGUUAUCAAUCAAGUAUUUCAAGCAAGUAAGGAUCAUAACACCAUACAGACUAAGACCAAAUGAAUUUUUGUUGAUACCAAGGACCGACCACGUGAUUUGACCGUCCGGACUAGUAUGAAAUGUCGAGUUCCAGGGGUUUGUGCACUUGUAGUGGCCCUACUGCUUUGCAAAGCCAUUGCCGAGGGGUUUCACCCGACCACACACAAGUGUAAGUCCAACCAAACUCAUCUUGGCCCAUAUAAAUGGAGACACCCAAGACUAGGACCUCCUCCUAUUCUCACCACAUGACUCAUCACUCUCUAAUUGAGCAUGGAUGGUCAUUAGAAUGUCAAGGUAAACCCCAUCCUGAACUCCGGCCAUUCAUACGAUCAAUCACGACAAACUACAGGGCACCACCAUGUAACCUCCCUUGAGGAUCAUGGAAUUACGUCCAAUAACCAUACUUUAUAAAUACAAGCUUUCCAACCAUAAUUCACAACGCAAUACUUCAUACUCUUAACUAUGUGGCACAAACAUCCUUUGCUCAAUGUUUUAUUCAUAAUUUCCUCUACAGAACUCCGAAUGCAUUGAUUCUUGUUUUAUUGAAUUCUAGACUCAAAAAUCUUUCUCUGGACACCAAACUCAAAAUUUUUGGACAAGAGGGUUAACCGCAGUAAAAUUAUUAAGAAUCGUAAAUUUCACUCAGGCUCUGGUAUAUUCAGCUUUGACCUUUGCUUAUUGUUUUAUUCAUAACUAUCUCUACAGAACUCCGAAUUAGUUAAUUCUUGUUUUAUUGGAUUCUAGACUUAAAAAGCUUUCUUGGGACACCAGAAUCAUAAUUUUUUGGACAACUAUACUAACUGCAGUAAAAUCGUUAAAACUCGUAAAUUUACUCACGUUCUGGUAUUUUCAGCUUUGACCUUUGGUCAGUGUUUUGUUCAUAACUCUCUUCACAGAACUCCAAAUUAGUUAAUUCUUGNUUUAUUGGAUUCUAGACUUAAAAAGCUUUCUUGGGACACCGGAAUCAUAAUUUUUGGACAACUAUACUAACUGCAGUAAAAUUAUUCCUUAGGUGGUUUAGAGGUAGAACUAAGCUGAACAUCAGACCCAAAUACGAAAUCCAUAUCUCUUACUUAAGACAUUUAAUUGAUAAUCGGAACGGUCAAAUUCAAUAUACAUGUCUUUGAAAGCAUAUAUAAAAAUUCUAGAUCAAUCCAACGGUUAACUUGACUAUAAUGAAUGUUUUCCCGAUGGGACUCAGUAGCAGAAAAUCAGGUGAUCAAUGAAUCAAUCUAACGUGUUAAAUUUAUUCCUCUGAUUACAGAUCUCAAAAUGANAAUCUGAACGGUCAAAGCAAAUUAAUAUGUCUUAUGGUCCAUAUACCAAAAUUUGAGGUCAAUCUAACGGUUCACUAGGCAGAAAAGGAUGUUUUUCCGUGGGAUCUUAGCAGUACAAAUAAAGUGAUGGUAUCUCUAUUUGAAUUUACGAAAUUAAUUUCUCUAGAUACAGAACUCCUAUCANAAAUCUGAACGGUCAAAAUGAAAUAUGUUAUCUUUGGAAUCAUAUACUAAAAUUUGAGCUUAAUCUAACGGUAAAUGAAGUAGAUAUGGACAAUUUNCUGAGGUAACUUAAAUAUUAGAGACAAUGAAACAUAUAUAGUUAAAACUCACAAAAUUGCUCCCCUUACCUCUAGUGCACGGUCAAUUCAGAGAAAUGAUCCUAGAUCAAAUAUUUUGAACCCAAAGUGAUGAUAGAUGGGAGAUGAAUGAAUGAAGAGUAUGAGAAGGAGAAAAAGAAGAAGAAGAAGAUGAUGAUGGAGAUGGAAGAAUGAAGGAAUGCAAAGAAAGAGAUGAAGUAGAAAAUGAAGAAGAGUGUCGGUGGUGGAGUGAUUGGGAGUUGUUGG